rnacentral:rRNA from 1 species
GGGUUGUGAGGUUAAGCGAAUAAGCGUACACGGUGGAUGCCUAGGCAAUCAGAGGCGAUGAAGGACGUGCUAAUCUGCGAAAAGCGUCGGUAAGGUGAUAUGAACCGUUAUACCCGACGAUAUCCGAAUGGGGAAACCCAGUAUCCAAUGGAUACUAUCAUUAACUGAAUCCAUAGGUUAAUGAGGCGAACCGGGAGAACUGAAACAUCUCAGUACCCCGAGGAAAAGAAAUCAACCGAGAUUCCCCUAGUAGCGGCGAGCGAACGGGGAGCAGCCCAGAGUCUUAAUCAAUAACAGUGUCAGGAGAACGGUCUGGAAAGUCCGGCAGUAAAGGGUGAUAGCCCCGUAUCUGAAGAUGCUGUUAUUGUGAACUCGACGAGUAGGGCGGGACACGUGUUAUCCUGUCUGAAUAUGGGGGGACCAUCCUCCAAGGCUAAAUACUCCUGAUUGACCGAUAGUGAACCAGUACCGUGAGGGAAAGGCGAAAAGAACCCCGGCGAGGGGAGUGAAAAAGAACCUGAAACCGUGUACGUACAAGCAGUAGGAGCCUCUUUAUGGGGUGACUGCGUACCUUUUGUAUAAUGGGUCAGCGACUUAUAUUCUGUAGCGAGGUUAACCGUAUAGGGGAGCCGUAGGGAAACCGAGUCUUAACUGGGCGAAUGAGUUGCAGGGUAUAGACCCGAAACCCGGUGAUCUAUCCAUGGGCAGGUUGAAGGUUGGGUAACACUAACUGGAGGACCGAACCGACUAAUGUUGAAAAAUUAGCGGAUGACUUGUGGAUGGGGGUGAAAGGCCAAUCAAACCGGGAGAUAGCUGGUUCUCCCCGAAAGCUAUUUAGGUAGCGCCUCGUGAACUCAUCUUCGGGGGUAGAGCACUGUUUCGACUAGGGGGUCAUCCCGACUUACCAACUCGAUGCAAACUGCGAAUACCGAAGAAUGUUAUCACGGGAGACACACGGCGGGUGCUAACGUCCGUCGAAGAGGGAAACAACCCAGACCGCCAGCUAAGGUCCCAAAGUCAUGGUUAAGUGGGAAACGAAGUGGGAAGGCUCAGACAGCCAGGAUGUUGGCUUAGAAGCAGCCAUCAUUUAAAGAAAGCGUAAUAGCUCACUGGUCGAGUCGGCCCGCGCGGAAGAUGUAACGGGGCUAAACCAUGCACCGAAGCUGCGGCAGCGACACAUAGUGUUGUUGGGUAGGGGAGCGUUCUGUAAGCCUGCGAAGGUGUACUCUGAGGUAUGCUGGAGGUAUCAGAAGUGCGAAUGCUGACAUAAGUAACGAUAAUGCGGGUGAAAAACCCGCACGCCGGAAGACCAAGGGUUCCUGUCCAACGUUAAUCGGGGCAGGGUGAGUCGACCCCUAAGGCGAGGCUGAAAAGCGUAGUCGAUGGGAAACGGGUUAAUAUUCCCGUACUGGUGGUAACUGCGAUGGGGGAACGGAGAAGGCUAGGUUGUCCGGGCGACGGUCGUCCCGGUUCAAGCAGGUAGGCAGAGUGAUUAGGCAAAUCCGGUCACUUAAUGCUGAGAUGUGAUGACGAACCACCAAGGUGGUGAAGCAAUUGAUGCCCCGCUUCCAGGAAAAGCCUCUAAGCUUCAGGUUACCAACAAUCGUACCCCAAACCGACACAGGUGGUCAGGUAGAGAAUACUCAGGCGCUUGAGAGAACUCGGGUGAAGGAACUAGGCAAAAUGGUGCCGUAACUUCGGGAGAAGGCACGCUGGCGGUAGGUAAAGUCCCUCGCGGACGGCGCUGAAGCCAGUCGAAGAUACCAGCUGGCUGCAACUGUUUAUUAAAAACACAGCACUGUGCAAACACGAAAGUGGACGUAUACGGUGUGACGCCUGCCCGGUGCUGGAAGGUUAAUUGAUGGGGUCAGCCGUAAGGCGAAGCUCCUGAUCGAAGCCCCAGUAAACGGCGGCCGUAACUAUAACGGUCCUAAGGUAGCGAAAUUCCUUGUCGGGUAAGUUCCGACCUGCACGAAUGGCGUAAUGAUGGCCAGGCUGUCUCCACCCGAGACUCAGUGAAAUUGAACUCGCUGUGAAGAUGCAGUGUACCCGCGGCAAGACGGAAAGACCCCGUGAACCUUUACUAUAGCUUGACACUGAACAUUGAGCCUUGAUGUGUAGGAUAGGUGGGAGGCUUUGAAGUGUGGACGCCAGUCUGCAUGGAGCCAACCUUGAAAUACCACCCUUUAACGUUUGAUGUUCUAACCUAGGCCCAUAAACUGGGUCGGGGACCGUGUCUGGUGGGUAGUUUGACUGGGGCGGUCUCCUCCUAAAGAGUAACGGAGGAGCACGAAGGUUGGCUAAGCAUGGUCGGACAUCAUGCGGUUAGUGCAAAGGCAUAAGCCAGCUUGACUGCGAGUGACGGCUCGAGCAGGUACGAAAGUAGGUCUUAGUGAUCCGGUGGUUCUGAAUGGAAGGGCCAUCGCUCAACGGAUAAAAGGUACUCCGGGGAUAACAGGCUGAUACCGCCCAAGAGUUCAUAUCGACGGCGGUGUUUGGCACCUCGAUGUCGGCUCAUCACAUCCUGGGGCUGAAGUAGGUCCCAAGGGUAUGGCUGUUCGCCAUUUAAAGUGGUACGCGAGCUGGGUUUAGAACGUCGUGAGACAGUUCGGUCCCUAUCUGCCGUGGGCGUUGGAAGAUUGAGAGGGGUUGCUCCUAGUACGAGAGGACCGGAGUGAACGCACCACUGGUGUUCGGGUUGUCAUGCCAAUGGCAUUGCCCGGUAGCUAAGUGCGGAAGAGAUAACCGCUGAAAGCAUCUAAGCGGGAAACUUGCCUCGAGAUGAGUCUUCCCUGUCGCUUUAAGCGACCUAAAGGAACGUUUAAGACUAAGACGUUGAUAGGCUGGGUGUGUAAGCGUAGCGAUACGUUGAGCUAACCAGUACUAAUGAACCGUGAGGCUUAACCUGACAACACCGAAAGUGUUUUG